UACGAAGGGGGCUAGCGUUGUUCGGAAUUACUGGGCGUAAAGCGCACGUAGGCGGAUACUUAAGUCAGGGGUGAAAUCCCGGGGCUCAACCCCGGAACUGCCUUUGAUACUGGGUAUCUCGAGUCCGGAAGAGGUGAGUGGAAUUCCGAGUGUAGAGGUGAAAUUCGUAGAUAUUCGGAGGAACACCAGUGGCGAAGGCGGCUCACUGGUCCGGUACUGACGCUGAGGCGCGAAAGCGUGGGGAGCGAACAGG
rnacentral:rRNA from 1 species